ACGGGGUGCAGCAGGCGCGAAACCUCCGCAAUACACGAAAGUGUGACGGGGUUACCCAAAGUGUCCAUCUUUGGACUGUGGUAAGUGAGUAAUGUCCCUUACUAGAAAGGAGAGGGCAAGGCUGGUGCCAGCCGCCGCGGUAAAACCAGCUCUUCAAGUGGUCGGGAUGAUUAUUGGGCUUAAAGUGUCCGUAGCCGGAUUAGUAAGUUCCUGGUAAAAUCAGGUGGCUUAACUAUCUGCAUGCUAGGAAUACUACUAUUCUAGAGGGCGGGAGAGGUCUGAGGUACUACAGGGGUAGGGGUGAAAUCUUAUAAUCCUUGUAGGACCACCAGUGGCGAAGGCGUCAGACUGGAACGCGCCUGACGGUGAGGGACGAAAGCUAGGGGAGCGAACCGGAUUAGAUACCCGGGUAGUCCUAGCCGUAAACGAUGCAUACUAGGUGAUGGCACGGCCAUGAGCCGUGUCAGUGCCGUAGGGAAACCGUUAAGUGUGCCACCUGGGAAGUACGGUCGCAAGGCUAAAACUUAAAGGAAUUGGCGGGGGAGCAC
rnacentral:rRNA from 1 species